rnacentral:tRNA from 1 species
UGCGGGACAGUCGCUGCUGGUAGUGAUGCCUGGCUUUGAACCAGGAGGUCGCAGGUUCGAUUCCUGCUCCCGCAGC